rnacentral:misc_RNA from 1 species
GAUGAAGAACGCAGCGAAAUGCGAUAAGUAAUGUGAAUUGCAGAAUUCAGUGAAUCAUCGAAUCUUUGAACGCACCUUGCGCUCCUUGGUAUUCCGAGGAGCAUGCCUGUUUGAGUGUCAUUAAUAUAUCAACCUCUUCAGCUUAUGCUUGUUGAGUGUUGGAUGGUGGGGGUUUGCUGGUGUCUUAUGAAGUCAGCUCCUCUGAAAUGCAUUAGCGGAACAAUUUGUUGACCGUUCAUUAGUGUGAUAAAAAUAUCUACGCUAUUGACCUCAGUCAGUUCAGCUUCUAACAGUCCAUUGACUUGGACAAAUUUUUCAUUAAUGUGACCUCAAAUCAGGUAGGACUACCCGCUGAACUUAAGCAUAUCAAUAAGCGGAGGA